GAUGAACGCUGGCGGCGUGCCUAACACAUGCAAGUCGAACGGAGUUCUUAAGGAAUGCGGCUUCGGUCAAAUGACUUUUGAACUUAGUGGCGGACGGGUGAGUAACGCGUGAGCAACCUGCCUUUCAGAGGGGGAUAACAUUUGGAAACAGAUGCUAAUACCGCAUAAAGCCUGAGGGUGAAAGCAGCAAUGCGCUAUCAGAUGUGCCCAAACGGGAUUAGCUAGUAGGUGAGGUAAAGGCUCACCUAGGCGACGAUCUCUAGCUGGUCUGAGAGGAUGAUCAGCCACAUUGGGACUGAGACACGGCCCAGACUCCUACGGGAGGCAGCAGUAGGGAAUAUUGCACAAUGGAGGAAACUCUGAUGCAGCCAUGCCGCGUGUGUGAAGAAGGCCUCGGUUGUAAGCACUUCGUAGGGAGGAAA
rnacentral:rRNA from 1 species